rnacentral:ncRNA from 1 species
AUCGCUCAGGUCUGUGAUUGAAAGUCCAGGCUAGUUACGGGCAAAGGGACCCACGUAAGCUGGUCCGCAAGGCGGCAGUGAUCAUGGCGUAGCUUAGAAGUAAGUCCUUCCGGUCAGAGCCGGAAGGCGGGUGUGGGGGCAAAGAUCAGGUCAGCUGGGCGAU